rnacentral:tRNA from 1 species
CCGAUAUAGCUCAGUUGGUAGAGCGGCUGAUUCGUAAUCAGCAGGUCAGGGGUCCGAGUCCCCUUAUCGG